rnacentral:rRNA from 1 species
GAUGAACGCUGACAGAAUGCUUAACACAUGCAAGUCUACUUGAUUCUACUUCGGAAGUUGAUGGUGGCGGACGGGUGAGUAACGCGUAAAGAAUCUGCCCUUUAGUUUGGGAUACCCUUUGGAAACGAAGUCUAAUACCGGAUAUUAUGGAGACGUCGCAUGGCGACUCCAUGAAAGCUAUAUGCGCUAGAGGAGGACUUUGCGUCCCAUUAGUUAGUUGGUGAGGUAAUGGCUCACCAAGACCGCGAUGGGUAGCCGGCCUGAGAGGGGGAUCGGCCACAAGGGAACUGAGACGCGUUCCUUACUGCUACGGGAGUCAGCAGUGUGGAAUAUUGGACAAUGGGCCACAAGCCUGAUCCAGCAAUUCUGUGUGCACGAUGAAGGUCUUCGGAUUGUAAAGUGCUUUCAGUAGGGAAGAAAAAAAUGACGGUACCUACAGAAGAAGCGACGGCUAAAUAUGUGCCAGCCGCCGCCGUAA